rnacentral:lncRNA from 1 species
CUGCAACUUUCAAAACUCAGAGAGCCAUUCAAGUCAAUUUUUCAUCAACCACAACUCAAAGUGUUCGGCUGCCCACAUGGUUUUUUUCCCCCCUUUUUCCUCUGAAGCGUGUGAAGUCACCCGUCUGCCUGGCACAGAUUUGUGUUGAUGUGCUUUUGUGGGGACUGAUGGUGUCUGAAACGGCGGGACCCUCCCUUUAGCAUGUGAGCUCAUUACUAUUUUAACGACACUGGAUUCAUCAAUUACCCGCCAGUCUGAUGGU